rnacentral:rRNA from 1 species
AGUGAACGCUGGCGGUAGGCCUAACACAUGCAAGUCGAACGGCAGCACAGUAAGAGCUUGCUCUUACGGGUGGCGAGUGGCGGACGGGUGAGGAAUAUAUCGGAAUCUACUUUUUCGUGGGGGAUAACGUAGGGAAACUUACGCCAAUACCGCAUACGACCUACGGGUGAAAGCAGGGGAUCUUCGGACCUUGCGCGAUUGAAUGAGCCGAUGUCGGAUUAGCUAGUUGGCGGGGUAAAGGCCCACCAAGGCGACGAUCCGUAGCUGGUCUGAGAGGAUGAUCAGCCACACUGGAGCUGAGACACGGUCCAGACUCCUACGGGAGGCAGCAGUGGGGAAUAUUGGACAAUGGGCGCAAGCCUGGUCCAGCCAUACCGCGUGGGUGAAGAAGGCCUUCGGGUUGUAAAGCCCUUUUGUUGGGAAAGAAAAGCAGCAGGUUAAUACCCCGCUGUUCUGACGGUACCCAAAGAAUAAGCACCGGCUAACUUCGUG